CUACGGGUGGCUCCAGUGGGGAAUAUUGGACAAUGGGGGAAACCCUGAUCCAGCAAUGCCGCGUGUGUGAAGAAGGCCUGCGGGUUGUAAAGCACUUUCGGUUGGGAGGACUGCUUCUAGCACUAAUAUUGUUGGAAGUUGACGUUACCUUCAGAAGAAGCACCGGCUAACUCCGUGCCAGCAGCCGCGGUAAUGCGGAGGGUGCAAGCGUUAAUCGGAAUUACUGGGCCUAAAGCGCGCGUAGGCGGCUAGAUCAGUCGGGUGUGAAAGCCCCGGGCUUAACCUGGGAACUGCAUCCGAUACUGUCUAGCUUGAGUACAGGAGAGGAGAGUGGAAUUCCACAUGUAGCGGUGAAAUGCGUAGAUAUGUGGAGGAACACCAAUGGCGAAGGCAGCUCUCUGGCCUGAUACUGACGCUGAGGUGCGAAAGCGUGGGGAGCAAACAGGAUUAGAUACCCCAGUAGUC
rnacentral:rRNA from 1 species